AAUAGAUACCCGGGUAGUCCACGCCGUAAACGAUGAGUGCUAAGUGUUAGAGGGUUUCCGCCCUUUAGUGCUGCAGCAAACGCAUUAAGCACUCCGCCUGGGGAGUACGGUCGCAAGACUGAAACUCAAAGGAAUUGACGGGGGCCCGCACAAGCGGUGGAGCAUGUGGUUUAAUUCGAAGCAACGCGAAGAACCUUACCAGGUCUUGACAUCCCACUGACCGGUAUAGAGAUAUAUCUUUCCCUUCGGGGACAGUGGUGACAGGUGGUGCAUGGUUGUCGUCAGCUCGUGUCGUGAGAUGUUGGGUUAAGUCCCGCAACGAGCGCAACCCUUGAUCUUAGUUGCCAGCAUUCAGUUGGGCACUCUAAGGUGACUGCCGGUGACAAACCGGAGGAAGGUGGGGAUGACGUCAAAUCAUCAUGCCCCUUAUGACCUGGGCUACACACGUGCUACAAUGGAUGGUACAAAGGGCUGCAAGACUGCGAAGUCAAGCCAAUCCCAUAAACCAUUCUCAGUUCGGAUUGC
rnacentral:rRNA from 1 species